AAUUUUGGACAAUGGGGGCAACCCUGAUCCAGCCAUGCCGCGUGAGUGAAGAAGGCCUUCGGGUUGUAAAGCUCUUUCAGCCGGGAAGAAAGCGCACUCUCUAACAUAGGGUGUGGAUGACGGUACCGGAAGAAGAAGCACCGGCUAACUACGUGCCAGCAGCCGCGGUAAUACGUAGGGUGCGAGCGUUAAUCGGAAUUACUGGGCGUAAAGGGUGCGCAGGCGGUUUUGUAAGACAGAUGUGAAAUCCCCGGGCUUAACCUGGGAACUGCGUUUGUGACUGCAAGGCUAGAGUACGGCAGAGGGGGGUGGAAUUCCGCGUGUAGCAGUGAAAUGCGUAGAUAUGCGGAGGAACACCGAUGGCGAAGGCAACCCCCUGGGCCUGUACUGACGCUCAUGCACGAAAGCGUGGGGAGCAAACAGGAUUAGAUACCCUGGUAGUCCACGCCCUAAACGAUGUCAACUAGUCGUUCGGAGCAGCAAUGCACUGAGUGACGCAGCUAACGCGUGAAGUGACCGCCUG
rnacentral:rRNA from 1 species